AUCCGGGUUGCGGACAGUGUCUGGUGGGUAGUUUGACUGGGGCGGUCUCCUCCUAAAGAGUAACGGAGGAGCACGAAGGUUGGCUAAUCCUGGUCGGACAUCAGGAGGUUAGUGCAAUGGCAUAAGCCAGCUUGACUGCGAGCGUGACGGCGCGAGCAGGUGCGAAAGCAGGUCAUAGUGAUCCGGUGGUUCUGAAUGGAAGGGCCAUCGCUCAACGGAUAAAAGGUACUCCGGGGAUAACAGGCUGAUACCGCCCAAGAGUUCAUAUCGACGGCGGUGUUUGGCACCUCGAUGUCGGCUCAUCACAUCCUGGGGCUGAAGUAGGUCCCAAGGGUAUGGCUGUUCGCCAUUUAAAGUGGUACGCGAGCUGGGUUUAGAACGUCGUGAGACAGUUCGGUCCCUAUCUGCCGUGGGCGCUGGAGAACUGAGGGGGGCUGCUCCUAGUACGAGAGGACCGGAGUGGACGCAUCACUGGUGUUCGGGUUGUCAUGCCAAUGGCACUGCCCGGUAGCUAAAUGCGGAAGAGAUAAGUGCUGAAAGCAUCUAAGCACGAAACUUGCCCCGAGAUGAGUUCUCCCUGAGACUUAGAGUCUCCUGAAGGAACGUUGAAGACG
rnacentral:rRNA from 1 species